UGCUUUUCGAAUCAGUUUUCGUCAACACGUAAGCAAGGGAACACCUUCGAUUCUCCAUAAAUUUUUCGGUAGUGUGUAAAAUUUCAAGUUUUCAAUUGGCAAGUGGCAAGUUGCAUGUGAACUAGACGGAAAAAUAACAAACGCAAUUGAAUAUGUCCUUUAGCAAGUCAGAAGAAGUGGGCGGAAUCCAUAACAUGAGUAACAGAUCGUUGGUAAAGAAUGGAUUUUUUAAUUAUUUGCGCGGCUUCUGUCAACGCAAUAGUGCCCUGAGCUGACCGGAAAUCGCAAGGGAGAGGCGAUGGCCUGCAGGGUGGCCACCAGUCCGCGUCAUAAGCGUCGUCGUGUUUGCAAUAUGCACUGAAAUUCCCUCGAUCGAUCGAGUCAUGCCAUAAAAUCCAUAGAAGUCCACGUUUCCUGUUUGAUGAAUUGAUCAUGCGACUUCUGUCUGCAGUUCGAGAUAAUUUUUAUCUAAGAUUUAUAGCCAUGGGAUAUGCCAAUUAUGUAACUAUUCUGUUUUGCUUAACUUAAAUAAUUGUUUUAUUAAACAAUUUGAUUAUUUUUUGUGGAACAGAAAGCAGUUAGGGUUGAGGCUUUUGAAGUAUGCUUUAAUAAAAUAUACUUUUGAUGGCUUUAGAAUAUGUAGAAUGGUUCAAAGGCAUGUCAUAAAAAAUAAAUCAGUGAAAACAAACAA